rnacentral:rRNA from 1 species
AGACAGCAGCAGCCGCGGUAAUACAGAGGGUGCGAGCGUUAAUCGGAUUUACUGGGCGUAAAGCGUGCGUAGGCGGCUUUUUAAGUCGGAUGUGAAAUCCCUGAGCUUAACUUAGGAAUUGCAUUCGAUACUGGGAAGCUAGAGUAUGGGAGAGGAUGGUAGAAUUCCAGGUGUAGCGGUGAAAUGCGUAGAGAUCUGGAGGAAUACCGAUGGCGAAGGCAGCCAUCUGGCCUAAUACUGACGCUGAGGUACGAAAGCAUGGGGAGCAAACAGGAUUAGAUACCCCGUAGUCCCUGUCUCUUAUACA